AUACACAUAAAGAGGCUGAUAAUAGUGAAUCAUUCUCUUCUACUGUUGCUGCUUCUUCUGGUUUGAGCUAGAAUUACAAGAGGUUCGACCCAAGGAAUUCUGUGUUGGAGUGGUCCAUUCUACUUAUUGACAACUCGAACCGAAGUGGAUCAAUGGAGUUUGUUGUUGCCCCAACAGACUCAUCUGUAUUUUUCCCGAUUUCUGUGAACUUCUCUGCUACUAAUACAUUCAGUGACUUGAAGGUUGUGAAUGUCUUGCCCCAGAAAGGUGGAGAUCCACCGAAGUUCGGUCAAAGAACGCAAUGAUGUAGGCUAAACUCGUCAGUACGUCAGAGCUGUCUUUCUACAUUUAUGCUUCGUACUUCCUAGAAAUUUCAUGAUCUUCCUAUGCAUGCAGAGGGAAGAAGCAGUAUGAACCAGCUAGGUACAUGACAAUAAAGACUGCCAUUGAGCAGCUCCUGGAAGUUGUGCAAGCAAAAGUAG